GAACUCUGGUAUUGAUUGGUGCUUGCAUCAUGAUUUACAUUUGAGUGAGUGGCGAACUGGUGAGUAACACGUGGGAAACCUGCCCAGAAGCGGGGGAUAACACCUGGAAACAGAUGCUAAUACCGCAUAACAACUUGGACCGCAUGGUCCGAGCUUGAAAGAUGGCUUCGGCUAUCACUUUUGGAUGGUCCCGCGGCGUAUUAGCUAGAUGGUGGGGUAACGGCUCACCAUGGCAAUGAUACGUAGCCGACCUGAGAGGGUAAUCGGCCACAUUGGGACUGAGACACGGCCCAAACUCCUACGGGAGGCAGCAGUAGGGAAUCUUCCACAAUGGACGAAAGUCUGAUGGAGCAACGCCGCGUGAGUGAAGAAGGGUUUCGGCUCGUAAAACUCUGUUGUUAAAGAAGAACAUAUCUGAGAGUAACUGUUCAGGUAUUGACGGUAUUUAACCAGAAAGCCACGGCUAACUACGUGCCAGCAGCCGCGGUAAUACGUAGGUGGCAAGCGUUGUCCGGAUUUAUUGGGCGUAAAGCGAGCGCAGGCGGUUUUUUAAGUCUGAUGUGAAAGCCUUCGGCUCAACCGAAGAAGUGCAUCGGAAACUGGGAAACUUGAGUGCAGAAGAGGACAGUGGAACUCCAUGUGUAGCGGUGAAAUGCGUAGAUAUAUGGAAGAACACCAGUGGCGAASGCGGCUGUCUGGUCUGUAACUGACGCUGAGGCUCGAAAGUAUGGGUAGCAAACAGGAUUAGAUACCCUGGUAGUCCAUACCGUAAACGAUGAAUGCUAAGUGUUGGAGGGUUUCCGCCCUUCAGUGCUGCAGCUAACGCAUUAAGCAUUCCGCCUGGGGAGUACGGCCGCAAGGCUGAAACUCAAAGGAAUUGACGGGGGCCCGCACAAGCGGUGGAGCAUGUGGUUUAAUUCGAAGCUACGCGAAGAACCUUACCAGGUCUUGACAUACUAUGCAAAUCUAAGAGAUUAGACGUUCCCUUCGGGGACAUGGAUACAGGUGGUGCAUGGUUGUCGUCAGCUCGUGUCGUGAGAUGUUGGGUUAAGUCCCGCAACGAGCGCAACCCUUAUUAUCAGUUGCCAGCAUUAAGUUGGGCACUCUGGUGAGACUGCCGGUGACAAACCGGAGGAAGGUGGGGAUGACGUCAAAUCAUCAUGCCCCUUAUGACCUGGGCUACACACGUGCUACAAUGGAUGGUACAACGAGUUGCGAACUCGCGAGAGUAAGCUAAUCUCUUAAAGCCAUUCUCAGUUCGGAUUGUAGGCUGCAACUCGCCUACAUGAAGUCGGAAUCGCUAGUAAUCGCGGAUCAGCAUGCCGCGGUGAAUACGUUCCCGGGCCUUGUACACACCGCCCGUCACACCAUGAGAGUUUGUAACACCCAAAGUCGGUGGGGUAACCUUU
rnacentral:rRNA from 1 species